rnacentral:rRNA from 1 species
UACGUAGGGUGCAAGCGUUGUCCGGAAUUAUUGGGCGUAAAGAGCUCGUAGGCGGUUUGUCGCGUCUGCUGUGAAAACUCGGGGCUUAACCCCGGGCCCGCAGUGGGUACGGGCAGACUAGAGUGCGGUAGGGGAGAUUGGAAUUCCUGGUGUAGCGGUGGAAUGCAUUGAGAUCGGAAAGAACACCAACGGCGAAAGCACUCUGCUGGGCCGACACUGACACUGAGAGACGAAAGCUAGGGGAGCAAAUGGG